GAUGAACGCUGGCGGCGUGCCUAAUACAUGCAAGUCGAGCGAACAGACGAGGAGCUUGCUCCUCUGACGUUAGCGGCGGACGGGUGAGUAACACGUGGAUAACCUACCUAUAAGACUGGGAUAACUUCGGGAAACCGGAGCUAAUACCGGAUAAUAUAUUGAACCGCAUGGUUCAAUAGUGAAAGACGGUUUUGCUGUCACUUAUAGAUGGAUCCGCGCCGCAUUAGCUAGUUGGUAAGGUAACGGCUUACCAAGGCGACGAUGCGUAGCCGACCUGAGAGGGUGAUCGGCCACACUGGAACUGAGACACGGUCCAGACGCCUACGGGCGGCAGAGGUAGGGAAUCUUCCGCAAUGGGCGAAAGCCUGACGGAGCAACGCCGCGUGAGUGAUGAAGGUCUUCGGAUCGUAAAACUCUGUUAUUAGGGAAGAACAAAUGUGUAAGUAACUAUGCACGUCUUGACGGUACCUAAUCAGAAAGCCACGGCUAACUACGUG
rnacentral:rRNA from 1 species